rnacentral:rRNA from 1 species
AGUGAACGCUGGCGGUAGGCCUAACACAUGCAAGUCGAACGGCAGCACAGUGAGAGCUUGCUCUUACGGGUGGCGAGUGGCGGACGGGUGAGGAAUACAUCGGAAUCUACUUUUUCGUGGGGGAUAACGUAGGGAAACUUACGCUAAUACCGCAUACGACCUACGGGUGAAAGCAGGGGAUCUUCGGACCUUGCGCGAUUGAAUGAGCCGAUGUCGGAUUAGCUAGUUGGCGGGGUAAAGGCCCACCAAGGCGACGAUCCGUAGCUGGUCUGAGAGGAUGAUCAGCCACACUGGAACUGAGACACGGUCCAGACUCCUACGGGAGGCAGCAGUGGGGAAUAUUGGACAAUGGGCGCAAGCCUGAUCCAGCCAUACCGCGUGGGUGAAGAAGGCCUUCGGGUUGUAAAGCCCUUUUGUUGGGAAAGAAAAGCAGCAGGUUAAUACCCCGCUGUUCUGACGGUACCCAAAGAAUAAGCACCGGUUAACUUCGUG